AAAAUUGCAGUUAAGGAACUAGGCAAAUUGACCCCGUAAGUUCGCGAGAAGGGGUGCCUGCGAGAGCAGGCCGCAGAGAAUAGGCCCAAGCAACUGUUUUAGCAAAAACACAGGUCUCUGCUAAAGCGUAAGCUGAUGUAUAGGGGCUGACGCCUGCCCGGUGCUGGAAGGUUAAGGGGAACACUUAGCGCAAGCGAAGGUGUGAACUUAAGCCCCAGUAAACGGCGGCCGUAACGAUAACGGUCCUAAGGUAGCGAAAUUCCUUGUCAGGUAAGUUCUGACCCGCACGAAUGGCGUAAUGACUUGGGCACUGUCUCAACAGCAAAUCCGGCGAAGUUGUAGUGCGAGUGAAGAUGCUCGCUACCCGCGAUUGGACGGAAAGACCCCGUAGAGCUUUACUGUAGCUUAGCAUUGAAUUCCGGUAUUGUCUGUACAGGAUAGGUGGGAGACUGGGAAACUAGGGCGUCGGCCUUAGUGGAGUCAACCUUGGGAUACCACCCUGACAGUACUGGGGUUCUAACAGGACGCCAUGAAGCUGGUGACUGGACAUUGUUAGGUGGGCAGUUUGACUGGGGCGGUCGCCUCCUAAAAAGUAACGGAGGCGCCCAAAGGUUCCCUCAGAACGGUCGGAAAUCGUUCGUAGAGUGCAAAGGCAGAAGGGAGCCUGACUGCGAGACCUACAAGUCGAGCAGGGACGAAAGUCGGGCUUAGUGAUCCGGUGGUACCUCGUGGGAGGGCCAUCGCUCAACGGAUAAAAGCUACCUCGGGGAUAACAGGCUGAUCUCCCCCAAGAGUCCACAUCGACGGGGAGGUUUGGCACCUCGAUGUCGGCUCGUCGCAUCCUGGGGCUGUAGUAGGUCCCAAGGGUUGGGCUGUUCGCCCAUUAAAGCGGCACGCGAGCUGGGUUCAGAACGUCGUGAGACAGUUCGGUCCCUAUCCGUCGCGGGCGUAGGAAAUUUGAGAGGAGCUGUCCUUAGUACGAGAGGACCGGGAUGGACUGACCUCUGGUGCACCAGUUGUUCUGCCAAGAGCAUGGCUGGGUAGCUAAGUCGGGAAGGGAUAAACGCUGAAAGCAUCUAAGCGUGAAGCCCCCCUCAAGAUGAGAUUUCCCAUAGCAUAAGCUAGUAAGACCCCUUGAAGAACACAAGGUUGAUAGGUCAGAGGUGGAAGUGCGGUAACGUAUGUAGCUGACUGAUACUAAUAGGUCGAGGGCUUGAUCAA
rnacentral:rRNA from 1 species